AAGUCGUAACAAGGUUUCCGUAGGUGAACCUGCGGAAGGAUUAUUAACACGUAUCCAACGUUAAAACCCCCCCCGUGAACUUUCAAUCCUGCUCUUGUAACCCGCGUAGUUCGCAAUCUCUGGUAAAUCAUAGCCCGGAAAGUAAGCAGUCAGUGUCGGAAAGUGUCACUGAUUGUGCAAGGAUAGCGCUUCACGAUUCCUGUAGACCGUACACUCGGGCAGGAGCUAUGCCAAAGGGUCCCCAUGCCCCCUAAUAACCCCACAGUUUAAUGUAAAGCUCAAUGUAAUACAUUGGGUAAAAAAACCGAACAACUGUUAACAAUGGAUAUCUUGGUUCUC
rnacentral:misc_RNA from 1 species